rnacentral:tRNA from 1 species
GGCCUCGUAGCUUAGUCGACUAGAGCGUUGGCUGUACUAAAGUCUUCCCCUUGCUGGCGUGGGUUCGUAUCCCACCAAGGCCA